rnacentral:rRNA from 1 species
GAUUUCUGGUUCGGCGCACUUGGCCCGUCUUGGUUACAAGAUCGCGUGCCGGUGUGCGCCAUCCAUCCUUCGGAAAAACGUAUCUACCCUUCACUGGGCCGGAUACGCUAUUCCGAUCUUUUACUUUGAAAAAAUUAGAGUGUUUAAAGCAGGCUUAUUGCGUAUGAAUACAUUAGCAUGGAAUAAUAAUUUAGGACUUUGGUCUUAUUUUGUUGGUUUCUAGGACUAAAGUAAUGAUUGAUAGGGACAGUUGGGGGUGCUAGUAUUCAGCGGCCAGAGGUGAAAUUCUUGGAUUCGCUGAAGACUAACUUAUGCGAAAGCAUU